rnacentral:rRNA from 1 species
UUACACUGCACGACAGUGCGAUAGGGGGAUUCCGAGUGCGAGGGCAUACAGUCCUCGCUUUUCUGGACCGUAAGGAGGUCCAAGAAUAAGGGCUGGGCAAGACCGGUGCCAGCCGCCGCGGUAAUACCGGCAGCCCGAGUGAUGGCCGAUAUUAUUGGGCCUAAAGCGUCCGUAGCUGGCCAGACAAGUCCGUUGGGAAAUCCACGCGCUCAACGCGUGGGCGUCCAGCGGAAACUGCCUGGCUUGGGGCCGGAGGACUCGAGGGGUACGUCCGGGGUAGGAGUGAAAUCCCGUAAUCCUGGACGGACCACCGGUGGCGAAAGCGCCUCGAGAGGACGGACCCGACAGUGAGGGACGAAAGCCAGGGUCUCGAACCGG